rnacentral:pre_miRNA from 1 species
GCUAGGAAGAGGAAUAAAGAGAAGGCGUAAGAGAAGUGGGAACGUGAACAUAGAGGAAACCCUAACUUUAUUGGUUCUUUACCUCUUCUCUUGAGGUGGAAAUUGGGUUUGGCAUUUCCUGAUGCCUCUCGUUCCUAUUUUUCUUAGGAACCCCUUCGUAUUCCUUCUUGUG